rnacentral:lncRNA from 1 species
CACAUGUAGCAACACAACAUUUCACCAAGACUGUGACAAUCUAUUUCUACCCAGUACUGUGUCACUCCACAGGCUACUAGUGGACUGUCUGUCUGGCAACUGUCUACUACCCUUUGCCUGGCUGCUGAGGGGCUACUGUAAGCCCUGUGGACUGUGGGACAAGCCGUGUUGGACCGUUGGAUAUUGGUAUCUUUCUUUAGUGCAUAACUGUAUGGAUUAACUGCUGUUCUGUACCAUGGCGUUCCUGACACUCCGGGAGGAUUUCAACCAUGGUAAGAGAGAUAGAAGGCUGUAAUAUCAAGUUACAGACUAAGUUGAACAAGGCAGAAGAACAGUAUAAGUGCAGAGGGACUCUGGUUGAAGUGUUCUAUGGACAUGUAGGAGAGUCUAAGGGACAUGAGAGGUUUAUUGGCUGGACAUGUAGGAGAGUCUAAGGGACAUGAGAGGUUUAUUGGCUGGACAUGUAGGAGAGUCUAAGGGACAUGAGAGGUUUAUUGGCUGGACAUGUAGGAGAGUCUAAGGGACAUGAGAGGUUUAUUGGCUGGACAUGUAGGAGAGUCUAAGGGACAUGAGAGGUUUGUUGGCUGGACAUGUAGGAGAGUCUAAG